CGGACCCCGGGGCGGAGAGGAGCGGCGCGGCGGAGCUCGGACGGUUGCUUUGAAGCGAGGACCUUGGAGUUUUUCUUUCCCCGCUCCACACUGUAAAACCGUGGAGCUGGAAAGACCGCUAAAGGCCAUCUCACAUAGCCACCUCGUUUUUAUCAAUGGGGCGACUGAAAAAUUGAGAGGAGACGCGGCGCAGGGGGCGGGAAGUCAUGAGACAUCAAUCAAUAUAUGUAAGAAGAACAUUGGUUCAGUCUGGAAAGGCAUGACAUCUUGAAGCAGGAAGGGGGCUUCCAGUUCAUAGGUUUGCCCCACAAGAAGAUAAUUCCCUCCUACUUCUGCUGUGUAACUUCCAUGGUGCAUCAUCUGGUCCAUUGGCACCAGCUCAGGAAGCAAGAUUUCAUGCCCUGUGGUAGGAAAAAGGAGGAAGAAAAUGUACUGGGGAACAAGACAAGAUCAAUCAGACUCUGCCAUUCUUCUGCUGUAGGUCCUUCAGAGACAUCCUAACUCUUUGGCCUGGCUCCUCAUGGCCUAUCCCUGUCACUGCUGCAGCACAGCUACCCCUCCCUGUAAAC